AGUAAGGUUGAAGUUGGAGUGGUAGCGGAUUCGAUGGAAAGAGACCAAUUUCCCUCAACACAAUGGUUUUACUUCCAAUUCAGUGACCCCAUAAGAGGACAACAACAUAGCAUAGAGCACGGUAGAGAACUAGAGAUACUAGAGACCAACUCAAGGGAGAGGGUCGAGAUUGAGUAGGUCUCAAAUCUUGGUUUUGAAGUUAUAAAGAAGGCUAUUACAUCUGGCUUCAUUCAUCUGUGGCAAGCUCUAACCAGGCAGAAAUAUGUGGUUCUAUAAAGGAAGUUGAAGCAAUAUUGGAACAAGUACUACUAAAUUACUCAGGAUUUCCAUGUUUUAAAAUUCUAUGGAAUUAAUUCUACCUGAUAUAGAGGGGUUCUCCUCUAUUGGAUCGCUUGGAGUUGAGUAGUUUUUGG